GACGAGCGCUGGCGGCGUGCCUAAUACAUGCAAGUAGAACGCUGAAGGAGGAGCUUGCUCUUCUGGAUGAGUUGCGAACGGGUGAGUAACGCGUAGGUAACCUGCCUGGUAGCGGGGGAUAACUAUUGGAAACGAUAGCUAAUACCGCAUAACAGUAGAUGUUGCAUGACAUUUACUUAAAAGGUGCAAUUGCAUCACUACCAGAUGGACCUGCGUUGUAUUAGCUAGUUGGUGGGGUAACGGCUCACCAAGGCGACGAUACAUAGCCGACCUGAGAGGGUGAUCGGCCACACUGGGACUGAGACACGGCCCAGACUCCUACGGGAGGCAGCAGUAGGGAAUCUUCGGCAAUGGACGGAAGGCUGACCGAGCAACGCCGCGUGAGUGAAGAAGGUUUUCGGAUCGUAAAGCUCUGUUGUAAGAGAAGAACGAGUGUGAGAGUGGAAAGUUCACACUGUGACGGUAUCUUACCAGAAAGGGACGGCUAACUACGUG
rnacentral:rRNA from 1 species